rnacentral:rRNA from 1 species
CCUACGGGUGGCAGCAGUGAGGAAUAUUGGUCAAUGGGCGAGAGCCUGAACCAGCCAAGUCGCGUGAAUGAUGAAGGAUCUAUGGUUUGUAAACUUCUUUUAUAUGGGAGUAAAGUGAGGAACGUGUUCCUUUUUGUAUGUACAAUAUGAAUAAGCAUCGGCUAACACCGUGCCAGCAGCCGCGGUAAUACGGAGGAUGCGAGCGUUAUCCGGAUUGAUUGGGUUUAAAGGGUGCGUAGGCGGUUAAAUAAGUCAGCGGUGAAAGGUUGUGGCUCAACCAUAAAAUUGCCGUGGAAACUGGGUGACUUGAGUAUAUUUGAGGUAGGCGGAAUGCGUGGUGUAGCGGUGAAAUGCAUAGAUAUCACGCAGAACUCCGAUUGCGAAGGCAGCUUACUAAACUAUAACUGACACUGAAGCACGAAAGCGUGGGGAUCAAACAGGAUUAGAUACCCGUGUAGUC